rnacentral:other from 2 species
CCAUCUCUGGAGUACUCGCCAGCCGGUCUGACUCCCCUGAGCCGUGAAUUAUUUCCUAAUUGAAAAGCGUUUCUGAAUAGUUAGCAUGUAUGCCUACCUAGAGUAGGAAACCCAGACAAUAUACAGCAUUUUCCACCUUGAACCUGAGUGUUCAAGGGUAAAGACAGCAGUGGUACUUCUGGAGAUUAU